rnacentral:piRNA from 2 species
UCCAAGGUGACUCUGGUGACCCUUGUAGCU